CAGCCGCCGCGGUAAUACGGAGGGCGCGAGCGUUGUCCGGAUUCACUGGGCGUAAAGCGUCCGUAGCCGGGUUGGGAAGUCCUCCGGGAAAUCUGGCCGCUUAACGGUCAGAAUGCCGGAGGAUACUCCCAGCCUAGGGAGCGGGAGAGGCCGAGGGUAUUCCCGGAGUAGGGGUGAAAUCCUAUAAUCCCGGGAGGACCACCUGUGGCGAAGGCGCUCGGCUGGAACGCGUCCGACGGUGAGGGACGAAGGCCAGGGGAGCAAACCGGAUUAGAUACCCGGGUAGUCCUGGCUGUAAACGAUGCGGACUUUGUGUCGGACAAGCUAUGAGCUUGUCCGGUGCCGGAGGGAAACCGUUAAGUCCGCCGCCUGGGGAGUACGGCCGCAAGGCUGAAACUUAAAGGAAUUGGCGGG
rnacentral:rRNA from 1 species